rnacentral:lncRNA from 1 species
UUUGCAAAACUAGGCAACAUUUUUCAAUUUUGCAGAUUCGGGCCGGAUUUUUCGCCAUCCGACGAAAAUACCCUUAUUCUUUUUCUUUCUCUCUCUUCUUUUUUCUCUCUCUUCUUUUUUUUUCCUUCGCUAUUUUUUUUUUCCGCCACCCGCCGCUGCGCCCUUUGCUUCAACCCUGUCGACGCGCUCGCGCUCGCCGCCAUCACCGCCGCCGAGCUUGCGUUCGCCUACCUCUACUACUAGCCCCGCCUCCUCUCCUUCCUCCUCUCCGUCCGACCCCGUUGCGCUCGAAUCUCCCCCCGAUCCUUCUACCUACGCCGCUGCCGCCACCCGCGCCGUUGCCGCUGCCACAUCCUACCUUUUCCACUCUGCCGCGCCGCGCUCCGCUGCCACCGACGCUAGGGGCCCGCAUCCCACACGAUGCCGCGGCCGCCAC